rnacentral:rRNA from 1 species
UGGGGAAUAUUGGACAAUGGGCGAAAGCCUGAUCCAGCCAUGCCGCGUGUGUGAAGAAGGUCUUCGGAUUGUAAAGCACUUUAAGUUGGGAGGAAGGGCAUUAACCUAAUACGUUAGUGUUUUGACGUUACCGACAGAAUAAGCACAGGCUAACUCUGUGCCAGCAGCCGCGGUAAUACAGAGGGUGCAAGCGUUAAUUGGAAUUACUGGGCGUAAAGCGCGCGUAGGUGGUUUGUUAAGUUGGAUGUGAAAUCCCCGGGCUCAACCUGGGAACUGCAUUCAAAACUGACUGACUAGAGUAUGGUAGAGGGUGGUGGAAUUUCCUGUGUAGCGGUGAAAUGCGUAGAUAUAGGAAGGAACACCAGUGGCGAAGGCGACCACCUGGACUAAUACUGACACUGAGGUGCGAAAGCGUGGGGAGCAAACA